GAUGAACGCUAGCUACAGGCUUAACACAUGCAAGUCGAGGGGCAGCGCAGUGUAGCAAUACAUGGGCGGCGACCGGCGCACGGGUGCGUAACGCGUAUCCAACCUUCCCGUUACUCAGGGAUAGCCUUCCGAAAGGGAGAUUAAUACCUGAUGGUGUUGAAAUUCCGCAUGUUAUUUCAACUAAAGAUUAAUCGGUAACGGAUGGGGAUGCGUGACAUUAGAUAGUAGGCGGGGUAACGGCCCACCUAGUCUACGAUGUCUAGGGGUUCUGAGAGGAAGGUCCCCCACACUGGAACUGAGACACGGUCCAGACUCCUACGGGAGGCAGCAGUGAGGAAUAUUGGUCAAUGGUCGGAAGACUGAACCAGCCAAGUAGCGUGAAGGAUGAAGGUUCUAUGGAUUGUAAACUUCUUUUAUACGGGAAUAAAACCUCCCACGUGUGGGAGCUUGUAUGUACCGUAUGAAUAAGCAUCGGCUAACUCCGUGCCAGCCGCCGCGGUAAAAC
rnacentral:rRNA from 1 species